AACGACGCUGGCGGCAGGCCUAACACAUGCAAGUCGAGCGAGGUAGCAAUACCUAGCGGCGGACGGGUGAGUAACGCGUGGGAACGUACCCUUUGCUACGGAAUAGCCCCGGGAAACUGGGAGUAAUACCGUAUGUGCCCUUCGGGGGAAAGAUUUAUCGGCAAAGGAUCGGCCCGCGUUGGAUUAGGUAGUUGGUGGGGUAAUGGCCUACCAAGCCGACGAUCCAUAGCUGGUUUGAGAGGAUGAUCAGCCACACUGGGACUGAGACACGGCCCAGACUCCUACGGGAGGCAGCAGUGGGGAAUCUUAGACAAUGGGCGCAAGCCUGAUCUAGCCAUGCCGCGUGAGUGAUGAAGGCCUUAGGGUUGUAAAGCUCUUUCAGAUGGGAAGAUAAUGACGGUACCAUCAGAAGAAGCCCCGGCUAACUCCGUGCCAGAGCCGCGGUAAAGUCGUACGAU
rnacentral:rRNA from 1 species